GUAUCACAUGAGACAUAUCUCCAUUUCAUAGAUCUUCUUGCUGAAACUAUUAGGUGACUGAAUUUACAGACAAGAAGCCGCGGGGCAGCGCGGACAAGAAUCAGCAGGGGCGGCGGUGCUCCGCCUAGAGGAGUUACAUGGGAGAGGAAGGAGGCCGGUGACAGGAGGGAAGAGCAGGUGGCCUUGGUUCAUCAUGGAGAACGCAUGAUGCCCAUCCGGAUCCCCUCUACCUUCUUCUUUGAUGAGGAGCUCAUCUUGCCUGGUUGGCUGGUUCACUUGUCUUCUCCUUUCCUGUUGCGUCCCUUGCCGCCUCACUCCCCUUCAUCCCCAAGAACUAGUGGUUGGACACAGAUCAGUCAUAGCAAGCAGAAGCAUGGCUGCAAUUGUCCAUGAAGCACUCCAGCUCCUAUCACCUUGUUGAAGUGCUUGCACAAGAUCUGGACAUGCUCUCAUAUUGCCCCAGGUUAUACUGAUGGGUCAUCCAGGUGUAGAUUAUGAUGUUGAGCUAUGACUUGUAAUGUUUGGGUUUGGGAGGCGGUAGAUUAUUCCGCUAGCUGCGACAACACCCAACAUUGGUGCACGGAGAUUCAGUGGUUCUUUCCGCCGUAUUAUUUAUGCCUAUGUCGAUGCUAUCAUCGUAUUGGCAUGCUUUACUCUACCAACGCCUUCGUCCAAAGGUGGAUACCUCCUCCUUUUUACUAAUAACUUAGUGUUUGUGUUUUUUGAAUACGGAUUGCAUUAGUUGUUCCUAUUUUCAAAGCUAAUUGAGUGGCAUGGCUGUAGUUUGGUGGUACUUUUUAUGGAAACCUCAAUUAUGUACUCAUAAGCAUAGAGUUGAGGUGAUAUUAGUUACCAGAUCGUCAAAUAGUUGAUUUUACCAUCAGGAUUCAUCUUUGCUCGGUUUUGCAUAAUGGAAUAACUAUUUUUCUGAAUAUGAGAAUUGGCUUAUUUGAUCUAUAUGUAAUUAACAAGUAUGUAGUGUUCAACAUGGUCACAGAAUUAAAAUGAAGCUCUUCUGAUGUAGUACUCAAAAUAAAUACAUGCACUAAGCUCAUUAAGGUAUCACAGGGGAGAACAACCUAUGUUUUCUGAAAUUAGUUGCAUGGCAUUCUAUUGUUUAAUCGCCUGUAGUAGCUUCAUCUUCGCCCACGACUCCCUCGGUGGCUGGCCUGCUCCCCGGUGACGCCUCCUCUUUCGUCACCCAAAAUAGAUAUGCCGGGGAACCUGCUGUGAAAC